ACGGCAUGGAGGAAACAAAGCAUGGACCAUCAUCCUAGGGCGGACUUGCUCUUUAUUUUCUUCAUGAUGUCUCAUUCUACAUUCAGAACUCUCUGCUUCCUAUAAUAGUUCUUC